rnacentral:lncRNA from 1 species
AGGAAACACUCCGUGACCUUGGAUAAGGGAGGAAGCUCAGCUGGGUCAGAGGGGCUGGCAGAGCCUGGCAUGUGCAUGGCCAGCCCCCCAAAAGUGCUUGUGGAUGGAGCCAAGGCUGGAGAAGGCCUAAGUAUGUUGGGGGUCAGGGGAGACUCAGUCAAGGCUAGCUGAGAAAUUCAGGUAAGAGAUCCCUCCGUCUUUCCCAUCUGAGUUCCCUACGCCACUCUGGACCUACCAGGCCUGGGAAGGGCAACAACCUCAGUGUGAAAUCAGAAAGGCCCCGAGCAUUAUAAGACCCAACAGCAAAAAGAGAACAACGACAUCCAUCUCAUUGGCGCACAAGGGAAGGAGAAUCAGACGUUUCUGGAAAACCAAAAGGGAAGUGACUGAAGGAGGAACUCUAGCAAGAUGAAGGACUUGCACUAAGAAAGAAAUUAAGUCUGGGAAACGGGAUUCACCACAAAAGAUAGGCAAAGGAAAGUCACCGGAGAAGAACCCUGCAGCAGUCCAGAGAGCAACAGGCACAUCUUAGAGCAGGCUCUGGACAGGAUGUCUUCAGGAAAAAAACCUGGAUCUGAAAAAUGGUCUUGAUGUGUUUGACUGUUGCAAGAGGAUACAAAAACUUUGUCAAGAAUAGUCAUAGAAAGGAAAAGUAAUCAUGGUACACUAUACUCAACUGUGAGCAAUAUUUACACAGUCAUAAUAAAUCAAAUCCCAACUUCUCACAACUUGAGAGAAGCUCCCUCCCAGGAAUAUGCAGAAGUAGAAGAACCCAAACUCCCUGAGAUGAUCUUCAAAGGAGUCCAUCCAUCUGAAGCUGAGUGUUGGCCCUGGGGAAGUGUUUGGAUUAGCUCUGCUCUGACUGGCAACUAUACUGCCCACCAUAAAAGUCCCAGCCUAAUUCAUGCAACAGAAUUUCUACCUCCAGCAUUUCAUAUAAUGUGUAUUAGUUGAAUGUCAGGUAUUUUGCUUUCAUCAUCUUAUUGAAUCCUCACUAUAAUUCAGUGAGGUAUAUAAUUUUCACCCACAUUUUAUAGAUGAGUAAAUGAAGACUAAGAGUUAAGUGAUUUGUCCUGGAUCACAGAACCAGCCAUGGUGGAGCCAGGGUUCAAACUGGAUUCUUUUUGAUUCUCAAA